UACAGAGGGGGCAAGCGUUGUUCGGAAUUACUGGGCGUAAAGGGCGCGUAGGCGGCCUGUUAAGUCGAACGUGAAAUCCCUGGGCUCAACCCAGGAACUGCGUCCGAUACUGGCAGGCUUGAAUUCGGGAGAGGGAUGCGGAAUUCCAGGUGUAGCGGUGAAAUGCGUAGAUAUCGGGAGGAACACCAGUGGCGAAGGCGGCGACCUGGGCCAAUAUUGACGCUGAGGUGCGAAAGCGUGGGGAGCAAACAGG
rnacentral:rRNA from 1 species